AAUAAAACAAGUAAAAAUAAUAACAAACGUUUUACCUUGUUAAUUUUGAUAAUAUGUUAGAUGAAACGUAAAAUUUUCUUUUCUUUUAAAAUGGAUAUUAACGAUCUAUGUUUCAGUGUAGACAACGGUGACAACGAUACGAAUAACCGAGUCCACGCGUUAUUUCCAUGGAAACAAGGCGCAUUUUCGACUAGAUACGACGGUGGAUAUCCGUGGGGCUGCCACUUGCAUUCACCAAUGUACUUAUAAAUAAACGGCAAUGUAAAUAGUCUGCACUCAAAUGCCGUACUAAUUUUAUCGAUACUAUGUUUGCAAUAUACAUCCAUUUCUGGCAUACGCCGAUGUUAGGCAGUUAUAAUAUUAAUUACAAUUUACAGAGAGUGUGGCUUGCUUAUCAGUGACUACUGUAACCCUAUGAUGAUGGCACGUCUAAAAUACUCUAACAUGUUUCAAAUAAUUUGGAUCUGUGAAACCUUGAUCUUUACUGGCCUUCGCUCUGUAAUGAUCUGCAUAUAAUUCGGUAAUAAUUGAACGUGUGCAUGAAUAAGUUAAGAGAAGGGCGUUCAUCUAUGAUUGUCAAGAUCGAAAGAAAAUCAAAAGCGAACAAUCUUCGGAAUAUGUAGCUGCAGUAUUUCUUUAUGCAUAUAAUGAUUUCCUCUGACACGUUGAGUGGCACGAAGGUCAUUAGUGACAUACGAUACCAUAUAACAUCAGAAAAAAUGUGCAAAUAGAAUAUAAUACUUUGGAAAAAUUAAGUGUUGUGGUAUAGUUUAUAAAUAAUAAACAUAUCUAUAUAUAAUAAAAUUAUAUAUUAUAAAGAAUACAUAAAUUCUCGUAGCAAUCAACGUGUUAAACUAUCUUUAUCGAUAAUUUUGCAAGCAAAUAAUUUCAAUGCUAUAUGGAAAUUAUACACAUGAUAACAUUUAUUUUUGCAACAAGGUUAACAUGAAAUUUCUAUGAGGAAUUGUACGAAUCUUGUUCUACAACAAUAUUUAA